rnacentral:lncRNA from 1 species
AUGUAACAACAGUCCCAACAAAACGCCUCUACGUAGCACCAGGUUUGGGAGGAACAAACCCUAAAGACGACAAGCCUGGGUUUCUGAUUAAGAUCUUGCAGCUACUUGUGCCCCUCCUGAUCUUGGGCUUGGCUCUUGCUGUCCGAACCUACACCAAGAAAGAGUAGAGGCUAUGAUUUAUCAGGAUGUAUCCUUUUAAGGGGUUAGAUGGGAUUCAAUCAGUUUAAUUCUUAAAACACUCUUUUGUUUUGUUCCUCCCUUGCAUUGUGUUUGUGCCGAAGUUAGCUAGGGGUCCAUAAUUGAACCCCUUGGUAUUUAUUUGGAACAGUUAGUCACUUGUAGGUGGCAACUGGACAUUUCUGAUUUUGUUGGUGAUAAACAGGAGCUUUCCACUUUUGAAACUUUCUUUCCAUUGUUCUUUCUGUAGCAACGGGAUAAAUAUUGGUUUUCAUGAUAUCAGGAGGUACCUUGUAAACCGAAGGCAUUGCAAUGGGUGUGAAAAUCUUUUCAAAAGCUGUGUAAAAGUCUCAACCGGAUCUCUGCAAUAUCUAAAUAAAUUUCACAUUUUCG